rnacentral:rRNA from 1 species
UACGGAGGGGGCAAGCGUUGUUCGGAAUUAUUGGGCGUAAAGCGCACGUAGGCGGCUUUGUAAGUUAGAGGUGAAAGCCCGGGGCUCAACCACGGAAUUGCCUUUAAGACUGCAUCGCUUGAAUCCAGGAGAGGUGAGUGGAAUUCCGAGUGCAGAGGUGAAAUUCGUAGAUAUUCGGAAGAACACCAGUGGCGAAGGCGGC